CGUAGGUGAACCUGCGGAUGGAUCAUUUCUUAACAAAUCCAAACUUUACGGUAAUUUUAAAAACCGGACUUGUUGAUGCUUUAGUCUCUUUUAGAGUUAUUUUAAGGCGGCAAGUUAGUUUGUGAUACUCAAUAUAAUAUAUAAUUCAAAACACUUAUCCGAAUGUCAAGUAAAUUAUUUACUCAACAAGUCUUUUUAGUACUUUUGAGAUUUAAUUAAAAUACAAUAAGCAUAAAUGGUGGAUACCUCGGCUCCUAAAUCGAUGAAGACCGUAGCAAACUGCGAUAAUUCACUUGAAUUGCAGACUACUGGGAUAGUCGAAACGUUGAACGCACAUGAUAACAUCAAUUCCAUUCUUUGGGGUUAAAUGUUACACUUGAUUGAGAGUCGCAUCUCUAAAUUAAAACAUAAGUUUUUUGAGGAAGAAUCAGGAGUAUUAAGAUUCAAACUUCCUUUAAAUAAUUCUAUACUCCAAGCUAUAUCAAUCUAUAAAUUGGUUCCUUUUAUUAGGAUUCAAAUUCAGGGUUAGAGAUUUUGAUUAAGUUCUCUUAAUCAUAAGAGUGAUAUAUAUUAACUUUAAUGAUUGUUCAUUAGUGUUCAAAUCAAGUUGGUUAUAUCCUUUAUGCUCCGGACCUUUUUUGAAAAUCAUCAAUCACUUUAGUAUUAGCAGCACUUUUAAAUUAUAAACAUAGUUUAUAAAAUUAUUUUACAAUAGCGACAUCAGUUAAGCGAGAUUACCCGCUGAACUUAAGCUA
rnacentral:rRNA from 1 species